UGGCCCUGAGCGUCAUCCACGUGGACUCCGCCCCGCGGGGCCUGGCUCCCGCCCCCUGCGCACCUGGCCCCGCCCCGCCGUCGGUUUUCAGAGAGGAAGAUGGGUUCCGUGUGGAGCCGACCCGCGAAUGAGUCCACGCAGACGCGCACCAAGUCGCCGGACGACGCACUCACAGACCCAUGUGAAGGACACAAGGGGGACAUCUGUGACAACAGAGGCACAGACUGAAGUCCUGCUGCUACAAGCCAAGGGACACCAAGGACUGCCGGCAGCCACGAGAACCCAGGGAGAGGCAAGGAAAGACCCUCUCUUCCAUGCUACAGGAGUAUAGCCCUGCCAACACCUCAAUUCUGUACUUCCGGCCUCCAGAACUGUAUGACAAUAAACGUCUGUUGCUCUAA